rnacentral:rRNA from 1 species
UACGGAGGGGGCUAGCGUUGUUCGGAAUUACUGGGCGUAAAGCGCACGUAGGCGGUUAUUUAAGUCAGGGGUGAAAUCCCGGGGCUCAACCCCGGAACUGCCUUUGAUACUGGGUAUCUGGAGGUCGAGAGAGGCGAGUGGAAUUCCGAGUGUAGAGGUGAAAUUCGUAGAUAUUCGGAGGAACACCAGUGGCGAAGGCGGCUCGCUGGCUCGAUACUGACGCUGAGGUGCGAAAGCGUGGGGAGCAAACAGG